rnacentral:rRNA from 1 species
GCCAGCAGCUAUAGCUCUCUGCAAUUCUCACAUGGUCGCCCACAGAAGGUAAGCAGGGCUGGUCAGUACCUGGAUAGGAGACCACAUGGGAAAGCUAGGUUGCUGCUGGAA